UACGAAGGGGGCGAGCGUUGUUCGGAUUUACUGGGCGUAAAGGGCGCGCAGGCGGUUCUGUUUGUCGAGUGUGAAAGCCCCGGGCUCAACCUGGGAACUGCGCUCGAAACGGCGGAACUAGAGUUCGGGAGAGGAGAGUGGAACUCCCAGUGUAGAGGUGAAAUUCGUAGAUAUUAGGAAGAACACCAGUGGCGAAGGCGGCUCACUGGCCCGGUACUGACGCUGAGGCGCGAAAGCGUGGGGAGCAAACAGG
rnacentral:rRNA from 1 species